rnacentral:lncRNA from 1 species
UCCUGCAGUUCAAAUAUCCUUGAAUGAUGUUGGUCGUUUGUUUGAUUUGCCACAGAGCAGCAGUACAAUUGAGUACAAAGAAAUAUAUAGUGCCAGAAAAUAGACUUUGACUGGAUCCUCAUCCUGAUGAUUUUGGGUAUGAUUUGGAAGAUGAAGAUCUCACAUCCAAAUCAGGAGAGAAGUGAAUCAAAAGUGAAUUUUUUUCUCCACCACGAGAAAAUAAAUAAUGAUUUAGAUCAUGCAGAGACCGUAAGGAACCUGAAAGAAGUACAGAAAACAAUUUCCAAAAUUUGAGUAUGUUGCAAAGAACUUUUAUUAGUGAAUCCAUCAUAAAGGUAAAAAAAUAGAUUUAAAUUUCUUUUUUGCUCUUAAGGUAAAAAAAAAAAGAUUCAAAUUCAUUAUAUUAGUAAUCAAGUCAACAUAAGUCAUAGGGUGCUAAAAUAUAAUCAGCUCAAAGGCACUUUAGAUAUUGACACAGACAUCAACAACCAACUAGAACUCUUGGAUUUGCAGACAAAUAUAAUUGAAGAAUUGGAUCCACAAAUGGACUUUGCCAAAGGGAAGUUAACGCAAACAACAAUUACAUUGGUUAGUUAUUAAAUUGGUGGUUAUAUUAUUAUAUAAUUCACAUUGUAUAUAUAAAUUUCAAAGUUUCCAUCAUGUCUUUGUUUUACCCCUAGUAAUAUGCAGACUUGUGAACAACCCAUUUUGCCAAGAUCCAGGACUUCUAUAGAAUUAUUGCUAUAUCUCGAAACUCAAGAAAUCAUAUACAUCACAACCAUAUACAGGAACAUAAACAUUCAAAUCCUUUCUCAGACUUGUUUGUUAUCUGACUCACCAACAAUGAGCAAUGAAAGAAAAUAUCAUUAAAAUUAGAUGAAGAUGAUCGAAGUACAUUGCAAAGAUAAAGGAUAAUUAUGUCACGACAAAAAAAGAAUCAAACAUUGACGCCGUUAAAAUAUCAAAAUGAACGUAACAACAACACAUGACUUUUGAUUA